GAUGAACGCUGGCGGCGUGCCUAAUACAUGCAAGUCGAGCGAACGGACGAGAAGCUUGCUGCUCUGAUGUUAGCGGCGGACGGGUGAGUAACACGUGGAAAACCUACCUAUAAGACUGGGAUAACCUCGGGAAACCGGAGCUUAUACCGGAGAAUAUCUUGAACCGCAUGGUUCAAAAGUGAAAGACGGUGGUGCUGUCACUUAUAGAUGCAUCCGGGCUGGAUUAGCUAGUUGGUACGUUAACGGGUUACGAAGGCUACGAGGCGUAGCCGAGCUGAGAGGGUGAUCGGCGACACGGGAGCUGAGACACGGUCCAGACUCCUGAGGGAGGCAGCAGUAGGGAAUCUGCCGCAAUGGGCGAGAGCCUGACGGAGCGGCGCCGCGUGAGUGAUGAAGGUCUUCGGAUCGUAAAACUCUGUUAUUAGGGGAGAACAUAUGUGUAAGUAACUGUGCACAUCUUGACGGUACCUAAUCAGAAAGCCACGGCUAACUACGUG
rnacentral:rRNA from 1 species